GCAUGACUAGAAGGAUGUAUUCUGGUCUCUAGCUUCUCCUCUGAUUCCUGGCUUCCAUGAGAUAAGCCGCUUUCCUCGGCCAGGUCUUUCCACCAAAUUAUUUCUGCCUUGGAGCCAAUUGACCAUUGAUCAAGUCUGCCAAAACUGCACUUGGAUUUCCCAGAAGAAAAUGAAUUUUCUCCCCCUUUAUUUCUAUUCUGAUCAGAAGAGCACUCUAUGAAAACAAGGAAAAAAAUGUGCCUAUUUAUGGAGGAUACAAUACAAAAUUCACUCAGGUUCAGGUGCUGCACCAUCCAAACCUUUCAGGGAGUUCCUUCCGCUUUGGGUCCGUGAGCCCGUGUGGGUAAGACAACUGAGCCCCUUUGGAGAUGAGGCAUCUUCGUGGAGGACCCAAGCUCAUGACAACUGGCCCCAGGAUCAUCUCUAAAUACUUUGUUUGAACAGCAUUGCAUAGCUACUCUGGUCAUUGUUAAACGAUGUGAUGCUGUUCAGAUGGAUGAAUUUCAGCACCUACCACUGGGUGGUGAGGUACAUAGCCACUGCUGACCUGCAUGAUGGAAAAUGUCCAUGCCAUUCACUUCAAUCUCCAUUUUCCAUACUUGUUCUGAUUAGUAUACAGGUCAAGUCAUGUCUUCCAAGGAUGAUUGACUUUAAUUUUAUUCAUAAAGUUUGCAUUUUUAUGAUGUGAUUUCUUGUGAAGCUUUCUUUACAGAGAAACAGCCCUGUUGAGUAAGUUCAUAUUCCCUGAGUGAGACAUAACUCCAAACAUGAAAUAAGAUUGAACUUGACAGGCUUCUCCCCCAAAGUGGUUUGUUCUUGUUUUCAUACACAUGUAAAAAUGAUACCAUGGGAGUUACACACAAACCUCAAUACAGCAAGUUCCAUAUGUGAUGAUUAGAAUAAUGUCAUGUAAAACUAUUUGCUUUCCAUCUUAAAUAUAUUGCAAACAGUUUAGAGGGACCAGAUUACCUCUAUGCAUUUUGACUUUUGCUGGAGAAAGAAAUCUAAGUAAUGAAUGAUUUAUGAAUGGAAGGAGUAAAAAGAUGAUAACACUUAAUUGAAAAAGAUGCAGUCCAUCUUGGUGACCACUAAUCACAUGUACAGUCCUUAGUGAGUCCUCUGGUCCUUGAAGGUGGAUACAAGUUAGAGAUCAAACACAGAGGCAUCAAUCUUUUGCUCCUCUUCAAAAAGCCCCUUAAUUAUCUUUCUCCACUUUCCGUGAUUGACUUUAGCGGUAAUGGAAUAAGUUAGUUAAUUUUUAUCUUAAAUAUGUCAGAACCCCCCAUCCUGCACAUGGUAGAACCAUAUACUGUCUUGCAAAUUAGACUGCAAGCUACACAGGGCUGAGUCUCUACAAGCCAACAAUGGUUCUCAGGAUACAGUCAUCACUUGGCAUCCAUGGGCAUUGGUUUCAGAUCCCCACCUUUACCCCUGCAGACACUUGAUUCUGUUCGUGCUCAAGACUGAUAAAAAUGGUGCAGUUUGCUUAGGAUGUACACACAUCCUCCUAUAUACAAACUUUAAAUAGUCUGUAACUUAUUUAUAAUAACUAAUACACUGUAAAUGCUAUGUGAAUGGUUGUUAUGCUUCAUUGAUUAAGGGAUGUAAUAAGAAAAAGUCUGUACAUGCUCAGUACAGAUGCAAUUUUUUUCCAUUAUGUUUGGUCCACAUUUGGUUGAAUUUAUUCAUGCACACCCUGUGGAUACAAAGGGCUCACUGGACUUUGGAGAAAUGAAAAUGGCCUUGGAACAGGCUUAGGACCACCCAAAAGGGACUAAGACCCUUAAAUGCUGGGAAGGAGCCCUUUAGGGAUCAUGCUUGUUUUCACAGAAGAACCUAGCAAGGACAUAAAUGGGGACCUGAGUCUCACACACAACCCUGGAAUUAGAAAUAAAGUAACCACAAGCACAUCCUACCUACACAGAUGCAAGCAAGGCUCAGUCUUCUGAACACCUGCCUUUCCCUGACUAAUGUUCUGCCUACAGUGGACCUCACACACUGACCAGUCAGGACACCAUGCUCUCUGGAAGUUGAAAUUCCUUAUUUUGCAUGGAGGAGGUGAAUGGAAAGUUUUGGGGGCUUUUUCCCCCCUUAUUUUCUCUCCUUUUCCUUUGUUCAGAGAACUGAGGGCCUUCUCUGCCCCUGUCAGAGCUGAGACUUCCUUCCAGUGGAGCAGAAGUCCCAAUAAGAAGACUUGCCUGAGUCUGUAUUACCCUGGGUCUGGUCUGAUUUCUACUAUCUCUGCACCCAAGAACCUGCUUCUGGAAACAGACUACUCAUAACAGUAAUAAAACCCUCUUGGUAUUCUUGUCAUUUCUAAGUAAAGAAUACACACUUCAGAAAACUAAGGUAGUGGGCAGAAACAGAAUACAGCCAAAAAAGAGUCACCAAAGAAAAACACCAAUGACAACAGUAGUGUUCUAAAGCACAUCUUCAUGGCAAGAAGGAACCCAUUGUGCAGUUAUUCCUUGUUGUGAGUAUGAUGCACUGUUUUCUCAAUUUCCAAUGAAAUCAAAAUCUCAAUCCGUAGUUAACUCUCAUGCUCAUGAAACAACCUUGAUGUUUCAUUUUUUUCUUUGUAUCAAGAAAAUAGUCUCUUCCAGUUAAAAAGAAUAACCUGGUCUUCAUGAGGGUUAUGUUAUUAACUGAAAUUAUUAAAGUAUCAUUAUGAUUUAUGUAUCACAGCCACUUGUGAGCUUAGUUUGUGGGACUCAGUAUCCAUAAGUCUAAGUAUCUGAAGCACUGAUGAGUUGGAGUGGCUGAGACUGUAACACUGCAGGUACUUAGACUACCACAUUUAAGUGCUGCCACUUGGAUCUGUUGACAACAAACAACACCCACCUCCUCACCCCAGUCACAUCUGCUGUUGCCAAAUACUUUUUUGGUGACAUUUGACACAUUCUAUAACAUCAUCGUUCUGGACAUUGCAUUUUAAUUUGUUAACUGUUGUAAUUUUAUGGUUUUCUUUCUAAUGAGAAAGAAAUUAGAUCCUAAUAUUGGAAAUAAUCAUUCCCACUUCUCCAUCAUCUUGGGUCUUGAAUGGAGGGCUGCUGCUUCAUUCGCAGUUAGUCUUUCUCCAUAACUUCAGGACACGUUAUUAUAUGAUGUUCCAGAGUACUUUAUUCUUCCAAUUAUUCCUUUUAUUUCUCCUUUCCUAUUCUUUAUGUAAGCAGGAAUGUUGUUCAAAUAUAUUAAAAAGAGACCAGUAAAUUUCACUUUUUCCAUUUAUAAACCUCCUAUCAGCCUGUCACACACAAUUAGGAGUCAUUAGAAACAGAUCUGCUUACUAUGUGAAAAGCUGUCACACUGGCUAAUGGUCGUCCCUGAGCCUCAUGCUUCUGUGUCUAUACCAAUACUGCUCUUUUAAACAGAGCCACUUUGGUGACAUCUUGUCACAUGAUUUAUCAGGGAAUAUAAAAAGGGGGAAGGAGGGCUUUUAAAUCAUUCUUUUGCUAGUUGACAAUUUAAUCUUCUGUGCAGUUUCAAAUACAAAACCAUAUUAGUUUAGAUGCCAGUGAUAUUUUCCUCUAUUAAUUUAUGAAAAUCAGGUCCCACCACUCCCAGCCCAGAGGAAAGGGCUUUUGGGCUGCCAUC